rnacentral:misc_RNA from 1 species
GAUGAAGAACGUAGCGAAAUGCGAUAAGUAAUGUGAAUUGCAGAAUUCAGUGAAUCAUCGAAUCUUUGAACGCACAUUGCGCCCGCCAGUAUUCUGGCGGGCAUGCCUGUCUGAGCGUCAUUUCAACCCUCAUGCCCCUAGGGCGUGGUGUUGGGGAUCGGCCAAAGCCCGCGAGGGACGGCCGGCCCCUAAAUCUAGUGGCGGACCCGUCGUGGCCUCCUCUGCGAAGUAGUGAUAUUCCGCAUCGGAGAGCGAUGAGCCCCUGCCGUUAAACCCCCAACUUUCCAAGGUUGACCUCAGAUCAGGUGGGACUACCCGCUGAACUUAAGCAUAUCAAUAAGCGGAGGA